GGGAAAAUAUGAUCAUCCUUGCAGGGGCAAAUCUAAGGGUGCUGGCAGGGCCUCAGCCCCCUAAAAUGUAAAAUUGUUAUUUAAAUCUUUAAAAUUUUUUAAAAAAUUUUAAAUUAGUAAAUAUAAAAUUGUACUUUGACCCCCUAAUAUUUUUAAAAUUUAAUUUAAUCUUUUAAAAUUUAUAAAAAUAUAAACUAUAAAAAAUUAAAAUUUCGCUACAAAAUUGUUCUCGCGUCGCCCCUACAUCAUUGUCCUUUUAGUCUUUCCAAACUCAAAACACUCCCAUUACCUACUCUUUCUUUGGCUUUUACAUUUUGUUCUUUUUUUCUGUAUCUUAAUGCCUGAGAGUCUUACAAAAAAAGGCUCAAAAUGACGGUGGUAGUAGCGGUGGAAGUAAUACAGUCGAUAACCUUUCUGGUCGACCUAAGAGGAAAAGAAUAACCAUUCACAUACAGAGUCAGGACGGGAAUAGGUUGGCAUUUAAAAUUACGCCCAAUUUCAAACUAAACAAACUGUUUCAUGAAUACUGCCAAAGGAAGCAAUAUGAUCUCCGGACCGCUCGGUUUUUUCAUGAAGGUCAUCGUCUUCCAGGCAAAUAUACCGCUGCAAAGCUAAAUUUGGAGGAUCAAUCUCAAUUUGAUUGCAUGUUUCAUCAAACUGGAGGCGGUCUCUAAUCGGACCGAUGAUUAGUGUUUGUCUUAUGUUUAAUUAGUUUUACUAUGUAAAAUUUAUAUGAACGUUGAUAUGUCUAAGGAUUAGAAUUUAGGGUUUAGUCUUGAAAUAUUAAACCUUUAAACUUUUAUACUUUUACAAUUAACUUUUGAACCUUUUUAACUAUAAUAAGUUAUAAGAAAACAA